GGGGAAUAUUGCACAAUGGGCGCAAGCCUGAUGCAGCCAUGCCGCGUGUGUGAAGAAGGCCUUCGGGUUGUAAAGCACUUUCAGCGGAGAGGAAGGCGUUAAGGUUAAUAACCUUGGCGAUUGACGUUACCCGCAGAAGAAGCACCGGCUAACUCCGUGCCAGCAGCCGCGGUAAUACGGAGGGUGCAAGCGUUAAUCGGAAUUACUGGGCGUAAAGCGCACGCAGGCGGUCUGUCAAGUCGGAUGUGAAAUCCCCGGGCUCAACCUGGGAACUGCAUUCGAAACUGGCAGGCUAGAGUCUUGUAGAGGGGGGUAGAAUUCCAGGUGUAGCGGUGAAAUGCGUAGAGAUCUGGAGGAAUACCGGUGGCGAAGGCGGCCCC
rnacentral:rRNA from 1 species